GGGUUGUGAGGUUAAGCGACUAAGCGUACACGGUGGAUGCCCUGGCAGUCAGAGGCGAUGAAGGACGUGCUAAUCUGCGAUAAGCGCCGGUAAGGUGAUAUGAACCGUUAUAACCGGCGAUUUCCGAAUGGGGAAACCCAGUGUGACUCGUCACACUAUCAUUAACUGAAUCCAUAGGUUAAUG
rnacentral:rRNA from 1 species